AGCCCCAGCACAUGUCAGAGAGACGCAGCCAGGGCCUGGCGCUCACUCCCAAGUGGAAGGGGAUGUUGACAAGUGGUAGAGCGUGUGUCCUCAGCUGCGCACUCGAGCGUGCCGUCUGACCUGGAUCCUGCCUUGGUUUGGGCAGAGGCUGGGUUCUGGCAGAAGCAGGCCACAUGUCUCUACACCAAAAGACAGUCGAGACCUUCUGAUCCCCAGGAACCAGUAGGCGCCCCCGCCGACAACGUACCGUUUACACAGCCCUCUGGUGACAGCCCUUUCCUGCCCCACCUUCCUGCAGACACACCAGUGAGAAAGUGGCAGCCUUCAGAAGCCAGCUCCCGCUGCGGGAAAGAAUUCCCAGAGGUGUCUGGGGGCCUGACCGAGGUCCUAACGGUGUCGGCUGUGCAGGUCAGCUAAGCACUCGUGAGGUUGCGCUCUAGGCACAAACUUGCUGGUGGACGCCUCAGGACUGGCACUCAAGGGCAUCACACCUGCCUCACAGGGGACACUGAGGCCCCACCUGUGUUCAGACAUCUGGGAAGCGGGGAGCCAGGAUCCGAAGCCAAGUGCCAGGUGGCCGGGCCCAGAGAGCCCACAGGCCCGUCUGCUGCACAUCAGGAUACGAAGACCCCUUGUGACCCCAUACCUGUGGGCUGCUUUUUGGGGGGCGUGAGUCACUGAUUUUUGUGGCAAGCUUGUCUUCUCUCUAAACCCCGACCCACAACAGCCCUCACCUGUCUGACUCCAGCAAAUCUAAAAUUUUCCAGCAAAUGGUUUCCUGCAAAUCUAGAAGUAACAGGAGCGAACUCGAUAGACAGAGCUCGUUAUGAACAGGGGCUAUUCCAAACGCACACGGGGACCCGCUCCGGGACCUUCCGAGAAACCUGCUGAGCUGGACGCGCUGGCCAUCCCCAUUCUACAGAUGGGAAAACUCUCAGGGUGAGCGCUGGCCCAGGGUCACACAGCCAGGAGGAGCUGGGGCGGGAACCCAGGAACCGGUGUCUGCGGUCCUAUUCACUCAACAGCAUGACGUCACAUUUCCUGCUCCCGCCUGCACAGGAGGCCACCUCCCUCUGUUGAAAAAGGCACUUACUAGUUUCUCUUGGCUUUAAAAGAACAAAACACAUUCCGUGUAGAAAUGCCAUUAAGUACAGCAAACUCUGAGGGGACUUUAAAGCACUCAUCAGUGGCUGUCAGAAGGCACGGAGCUGGGGCUGUGACAGGCACAUGCUGGCCUUCAGGACCGCGGCACGGCCUGGCCUGAGUUCACUCCUGAGCAGAAGGGGACAUCGACGAGCCCAGUCUGUAGAAGAGCGCGGGUCGUCUGCAUUCCCUGGGUACUAAGCUCGGGCUCCCCGGCCUCGAGCUCGGCCUCCUCCUUCUUGGCAGCUCACAUAGGACUGCGAAUGGGGGACACAGGCACGAAGUGGAAGAGGACAGUGGACCUCCUUUCCUGCCUCAGCCGGGCCCAGUUUCAAGUCGGCAGUCAGCUCCUGGUCCUGCUCCCAAUGCCCGGGCUGACCGGUCUGGGGUGCACAGCGGCCUCUGUGGAGGAGCAGAUCGCCUGUGCACUCUGCAGAGAAGGAGAAUUCCUGGGCCCAUCCAGGAAAUGCUGUGUCCAGCAGUCUGCAGCAGCCUGGGGAUUCCGAAGCAGGUGUUUAAGGACCAGAGAUGGAAAAGGUGACUAACGCCAGCCCCAUCUGCACCUCUGGGCCUUUGCACGUGCUGUUUUCGCUUCCUAGAUCAUCUUGUUCUGCCUCUUGCCUUAUUGAGGGCCAACUUAAGCUCUCAACUUAAAUAUCCCCUCUCUGAAGGAUCCCUUCCUCACCUCCCCCAGAGGCAGAAGUUCUCAACUCUGACCACAGAGUUGACUUGCCUGGGAAGUUUAAAAAAAAAAAAAAAAAACCAGCAAAAACAAAACAAAACAAAAAACAAUGCCAGGGCCAUCCCAAUGAGAUCAGAAUUACAGUGGAUGGGGCCUGGGCACCCCUUUUUUUCUUUAAGAUAUAAGGAGUGUUAUGCUGACACAACAAGAACUUGCCAGAAAAACGGGAGCCCCGGCUGCAGCGUUUGCCAGUGUCCUUGGUGAGAAUACGGCUGCCACAACUGAACCCGAACUAUUAAGGUGCCAUCAUGGACUAUGGAGUUGGGAAGGGAUGUGCUUCCAAAUGCAACAGGGCUCUAGCACACCCGGGACAAUCAAGUUCAGCUUCGUGAACUUUCCUUGUGUGACUCCAGACAGUGCCUAACACUUGUGGGGCUCCAAACAGCUCCCAGCUGAGAACCACUGACCUACAUCAAGAUGGGAACAUUUCAAGAAACGCAGAGGCUGCUCUCAUGCCUUUCAGCUACACCCCGCCUCAAAGGCGGGGGGUGUUCUUCUGCACCCCCCCCCCCCACACCUAGUCCUUUUGCCUGUUCUUGAAAUUCCAGGAAAAAGAAUCACACUGCAAGUA